UACGUAGGGGGCGAGCGUUGUCCGAAGUUACUGGGCGUAAAGCGCGCGUAGGCGGGGGGGUAAGUGAGAGGUGAAAGGCUGGGGCUCAACCUCAUGCAGUGCCUCUCAUACUGGCCUUCUUGAGGGCGGUAGGGAGAAGUGGAAUGGCUGGUGUAGCGGUGAAAUGCGUAGAUAUCAGUCGGAACACCGGUGGCGAAGGCGGCUUCUUGGGCCGUUCCUGACGCUGAUGCGCGAAAGCUGGGGGAGCGAACGGG
rnacentral:rRNA from 1 species